rnacentral:tRNA from 1 species
GGUUGCCCUAGCCUGGUAGGGGGCAGGCCUGCUAAGCCUGUGGUCAGAAAUUGGCCCCGCGGGUUCAAAAUUUCCGGGGAGACUUCC